rnacentral:rRNA from 1 species
CCUGCGGAAGGAUCAUUAUUGAAUGAAUGUAGAGUUGGUUGUCGCUGGCCUUUANUGGCAUGUGCACGCCUUCUCUUUCAUCCACACACACCUGUGCACCUGUGAGACGGAGAGAGCUUGCCCUUUUGCGAGGGUGUUUUCUCCGUCUGCCAAUACAUAAACUCAUAUAUUUAAUUUGAAUGUAAUUGAUGUAACGCAUCUAUAAACUAAGUUUCAACAACGGAUCUCUUGGCUCUCGCAUCGAUGAAGAACGCAGCGAAAUGCGAUAAGUAAUGUGAAUUGCAGAAUUCAGUGAAUCAUCGAAUCUUUGAACGCACCUUGCGCUCCUUGGUAUUCCUUGGAGCAUGCCUGUUUGAGUAUCAUGAAAUUAUCAAAACACACUUUUUGUUAAUUCAACUGGUUUUGUUUUGGACUUGGAGGUCUUGCGGAUUCACGUCUGCUCCUCUUAAAAAUAUUAGCUGGAUCUCAGUGAACUCGGUUCCACUCGGCGUGAUAAGUAUCACUCGCUGAGGACACCCGUAAAAAAGGUGGCCGCGAUUGCAGAUGAACCGCUUCUAAUAGUCUAUUAAAUUGGACAGCAUACUUUAUGAUCUGAUCUCAAAUCAGGUAGGACUACCCGCUGAACUUAAGCAUAUCAAUA